UUUGUCAGUGCAGGUAGUGCAGCGCAGUCAGCGUGGGGUUGUCAGCGCAGUCGGUGCAGCGCAGUCAGCGCGGGGUUGUCAGCGCAGUCGGUGCAGCGCAGUCAGCGCGAGGUUGUCAACGCAGAUCACUUGAGUCUUCCCAGCACAGGUUAUCUAAGCCCUUAUUAUCUUUAAUGAUGUUCGACGAAUCAAAAUGAAUAAUUGCUAUCUCUUUUAUCUCAGCUUAUUUCCAGCAUUAAAAUACUUUGUCUUUAUCAUUUUUGCAAAGAUUGACAGUUCUUGUCUAAUAAGUCGCAGGGAAUCGUGUAUGCUUAAUUGACACGGGAGAGCAGCACAGCGCUGACUUCACA
rnacentral:lncRNA from 1 species